rnacentral:rRNA from 1 species
UACGUAGGAUGCUAGCGUUGUCCGGAUUUAUUGGGCGUAAAGCGCGCGUAGGCGGCCACUUAAGUCGGAUGUGAAAGCCCCUGGCUCAACUGGGGAAGUGCACCCGAAACUGAAUGGCUUGAAUGCAAAAGAGGGUCGCGGAAUUCCCGGUGUAGAGGUGAAAUUCGUAAGAUAUCGGGAGGAACACCGGUGGCGAAGGCGGCGACC